rnacentral:rRNA from 1 species
GAUGAACGCUGGCGGCGUGCUUAACACAUGCAAGUCGAACGAAGCACUUUACUACGAUUUCUUCGGAAUGACGGUUUUGUGACUGAGUGGCGGACGGGUGAGUAAUGCGUGGAUAACCUGCCUCAUACAGGGGGAUAACAGCCGGAAACGGUUGCUAAUACCGCAUAAGCGCACGGUACCGCAUGGUACAGUGUGAAAAACUCCGGUGGUAUGGGAUGGAUCCGCGUCUGAUUAGCCAGUUGGCGGGGUAACGGCCCACCAAAGCGACGAUCAGUAGCCGACCUGAGAGGGUGACCGGCCACAUUGGGACUGAGACACGGCCCAAACUCCUACGGGAGGCAGCAGUGGGGAAUAUUGCACAAUGGGGGAAACCCUGAUGCAGCGACGCCGCGUGAGCGAAGAAGUAUUUCGGUAUGUAAAGCUCUAUCAGCAGGGAAGAAGAAAUGACGGUACCUGACUAAGAAGCCCCGGCUAACUACGUG